CAUGCAGUCGAACGGAGAUAUUUGGAAGCUUGCUUCUGGAUAUCUUAGUGGCGGACGGGCGAGUAACGCGUGAGCAACCUGGCCUUCAGAGUGGAACAACGUCUGGAAACGGGCGCUAAUACCGCAUAAUACAAGAGAGUCGCAUGGCUUUUUUGUCAAAGGAGAAAUCCGCUGAAGGAUGGGCUCGCGUCCGAUUAGCUAGAUGGGGUGGUAACGGCACACCAUGGCGACGAUCGGUAGCCGAACUGAGAGGUUGAUCGGCCGCAUUGGGACUGAGACACGGCCCAGACUCCUACGGGAGGCAGCAGUGGGGGAUAUUGGUCAAUGGGGGAAACCCUGAACCAGCAAUGCCGCGUGAGGGAAGAAGGUCUUCGGAUUGUAAACCUAAGUAGUCAGGGACGAAAGAAAUGACGGUACCUGAAGAGUAAGCUCCGGCUAACUACGUGCCAGCAGCCGCGGUAAUACGUAGGGAGCGAGCGUUGUCCGGAUUUACUGGGUGUAAAGGGUGCGUAGGCGGGAUGGCAAGUCAGAUGUGAAAUACCGGGGCUUAACUCCGGGGCUGCAUUUGAAACUGUCGUUCUUGAGUGAAGUAGAGGCAGGCGGAAUUCCUAGUGUAGCGGUGAAAUGCGUAGAUAUUAGGAGGAACACCAGUGGCGAAGGCGGCCUGCUGGGCUUUAACUGACGCUGAGGCACGAAAGCAUGGGGAGCAAACAGGAUUAGAUACCCUGGUAGUCCAUGCCGUAAACGAUGAUUGCUAGGUGUGGGGGGGACUGACCCCCUCCGUGCCGGAGUAAACACAAUAAGCAAUCCACCUGGGGAGUACGACCGCAAGGUUGAAACUCAAAGGAAUUGACGGGGGCCCGCACAAGCAGUGAGUAUGUGGUUUAAUU
rnacentral:rRNA from 1 species